rnacentral:rRNA from 1 species
GUGCUUCACACCUGCAAGUCUCGAGCGGAUGAAGUAGGAGCUUGCUACUUAUGGAUUUAGCGGCGGACGGGUGAGUAAUAUAUAGGAAUCUGCCUUAGAGCGGGGAACAACAGACCGAAAGGUUUGCUAAUGCCCCAUAGGUAUGCAGUCUUCGGAUUGUUUAUUAAAGGAGUAAUCCACUCUAAGAUGAGCCUGUAUCCGAUUAGCUAGUUGGCGGGGUAAAGGCUCACCAAGGCUACGAUCGGUAGUUGGUCUGAGAGGAUGAUCAGCCACAAUGGGACUGAGACACGGCCCAUACUCCUACGGGAGGCAGCAGUGGGGAAUUUUACACAAUGGGGGAAACCCUGAUGUAGCGACACCGCGUGAACGAAGAAGCCUUUUGGGGUGUAAAGUUCUGUCGGCUGGAACGAAAAAAAUGACGGUACCAGCAAAGGAAGCAUCGGCUAACUACGUGCCAGCAGCCGCGGUAAUACGUAGGAUGCAAGCGUUGUCCGGAUUUAUUGGGCGUAAAGAGUUCGUAAGCGGUUAUUUAAGUCUGAUGUUAAAUACUGUGGCCCAACCACAGAACUGCAUUGGAUACUGGAUGACUUGAGUGCGGUAGAGGCAAGUGGAAUUCCCAGUGUAGCGGUGAAAUGCGUAGAUAUUGGGAAGAACACCAGUGGCGUAAGCGACUUGCUGGCCCGUAACUGACGCUGACGUACGAAAGCCAGGGGAGCGAAUGGGAUUAGAUACCCAGUAA